AUAACAUGACGCGGCAACGCGAGCCUGCGUUUAGUAAUUACGAAUACUUCAUGUUGAAACAAUGUUUGGAAAAUAUACUAGGCGAGGGGUUGUUGCAUGCAUGUAUUUCUAGUUAGUUAAUGAAAUAACUAGUUGUAAGUACUUUCUGAAUACCGUACGUAUACCGGGUGUCCCAAAAAAAAGUACUCCGGUUUGAUUCGAAAUAACUUCUAAACAAGUAAAGCUUUUAAAGAGAAAUAACUUGCAUCAAAUAGAGGAAGGACUAACUUAGAUUUUGAUAUAUUACAGUUGUAUUUCACUUAAAAAUUCACGGAGAUAUUAAUGUUUAAAAUCGGGAGCAUAUUUUUGGAUGUGUCUGAAAUAUGCCAAAAACAGCGUAUCAAAUGUUAAUCAAGAUUUACCCAACUGAAACAUGCACUAUUACCUGUAAAUAAAUGACACUUGACAAAUUGUUUAUUAUGAAACAAAGUAUUAUUAUCUACAAAAUACAAGCAAGAUUUAUUCGUCCGAAAUCCGCGUGUGUUCCUAGCACGAAUACGUUUCCUUAUUUCAUGAGACCACUGCAUCGCGAAGGAUCGUCAUGGAUCGUUCGUAGUUCUGAAUUAGGGCACGCUGUCACAAUGGAAUUGUGAAUUUUCUAACUUCACAUUGAAUGAAUUUUCUAACUUCUACAACGUUCUGAAAUCUUGUUAAGAACACCCAAACUCUUUUGCCUUUCUUAAUCUUGGCAAGUUCAGAAUAAACUGAGAAUGAAACACAAUCAAACCAUACAACUCCAUAAGUAAAGACAUAACAAGCAACUCCCCAGAGACAUCCAACAUUUUUGGAACAAAACGUAACAAAAUAGUAGCUUUGAUACUGUGAUGUGUAUUUGCAAAAAGCAAUAUUAUAUUUCCUCC